rnacentral:rRNA from 1 species
UACAGAGGUCUCAAGCGUUGUUCGGAUUCAUUGGGCGUAAAGGGUGCGUAGGUGGCGCCGUAAGUCGGGUGUGAAAUUUCGGAGCUUAACUCCGAAACUGCAUUCGAUACUGCGGUGCUUGAGGACUGGAGAGGAGACUGGAAUUCAUGGUGUAGCAGUGAAAUGCGUAGAGAUCGUGAGGAAGACCAGUGGCGAAGGCGGGUCUCCUGGACAGUUCCUGACACUGAGGCACGAAGGCCAGGGGAGCAAACGGG